GAGAGAGAGAGAAAGAGAGAGAGAGAGAGAGAAAGAACCCUCCCCAAUCACAGGUAGCUUAAGAGUGGUCCCACCAAUCAGGGUACCCAAUCGGUUCAUAACAGCUAGCAUGUGUAUGUUUGUCUCCUCCACAGUAGGUGCACUUCUUCUCCGGACGAGAUCUUGAGGCCUUAUUCUAAAAAGAGCCACUGGUAGAAGUCUGGGGCCCCCAUUGACAUGGAGUUACCAUGACAAAAGCUUCUUGAGCACCAGUCAUGGUCAUUCUCUGUUGAACUUCACGACAAACAUAGGCAAAAGUUUGAUCAAGGUUUAAUUUAGGAUCUUUGCGUAGGAUUUCCCCCUGGACUUAAUCAAACUCAGGGUCAAGACCGGUAAGAAAAAGGUGAACACGAAGACGAUCCAGUUCUGUCUAGUGCUUAGUCACGUCAGCGACGCAGUGUAUGCGAAUGAGACUCCGAUGGUCAAUUUCUUGAAAGAUGCCUUACAGCUGGCUGUAGUAUUUAUGAAUGGGUGCACCAUUAUGUUUAAUAGUGAACGCCUGUUUAUUGAAAUAAAAAAGAUAAGUUUCAUCGCCACCAUCAUAGUAGGUCUUCUUGAUGGC
rnacentral:lncRNA from 1 species